rnacentral:lncRNA from 1 species
AAAUUUUGAUUUAUCAGAAUUUAAAUGCAAUUUGGGCAGAACCUCCUUUCUUGGCUUUGCUCUCACACUGUUGGACCUUUUCUUGCCUUCCUUUCUUGCUCCUUGUCUCCUUAAUUUUUAUUCUAAUUCUCUAAGCCUUUUGGAAGACUUCUUAUCCUUUAUCAGGACCUUAUCUAGGCUAGAGAGAAAGAAUAAAGAAAAUUAGACAAGAAAAGCCUCUUGUAAGAAAGAAGGAAGAAUUCUGAAUGCACGAAGACUCCUCAGCGUGCACCCCUAUUUAUAUUGCACGUAGGGGUGCAAACCAAAACAUCUCAUGCCCACUCACACUUUAUCUCAUGCCCCCUUUCUAUUUCUCACACCCCAUAAAUUGUAAAAUGCCAUGUGUACAUCAAAGUUGGGUUGAAGAGGCACCUUAUUUCAGAAGGACUCUUCGAUCUUAACUUACGGUGUUCACAUGAGAAGUCACAAAGCUUCUCUUAUUG